rnacentral:rRNA from 1 species
CAGUAGCCACGGUAAUACGGAGGGUGCAAGCGUUAAUCGGAAUUACUGGGCGUAAAGCGCACGCAGGCGGUUUGUUAAGUCAGAUGUGAAAUCCCCGAGCUUAACUUGGGAACUGCAUUUGAAACUGGCAAGCUAGAGUCUUGUAGAGGGGGGUAGAAUUCCAGGUGUAGCGGUGAAAUGCGUAGAGAUCUGGAGGAAUACCGGUGGCGAAGGCGGCCCCCUGGACAAAGACUGACGCUCAGGUGCGAAAGCGUGGGGAGCAAACAGGAUUAGAUACCCGGGUAGUCCCUGUCUCUUAUAC